rnacentral:rRNA from 1 species
CAUCUAAGUACCCGGAGGAGAAGAAAACAAUAGUGAUUGCGCUAGUAGUGGCGAGCGAACGCGCAUUAGCCCAAACCAUGUAGCUUACGGGCUGCAUGGGGUUGUAGGACCACGACAUUGGUUGUGUAAUGAACUAGAACGCUUUGGAAAGAGCGGCCAUAGACGGUGAUAGCCCGGUAUAGGUAAAGAUCAUAAACCAUAGUGGUAUCCUGAGUAGUGCGGGGCACGAGAAACCCUGUAUGAAUUUGGCGGGAC